UAGCUUAAGACGACUUGGAGAAUUG
rnacentral:piRNA from 1 species